ACAACGAGUUUUGCUUAAGACAACAGUCUCAGGAUGGAAAAUGCUUUUGACUUAUGUAACCGUGAUCAAAUCUCGCAGCCAAAACUAAGUAAAAAGUAUUUUUCAUCUUAGAGAAUGUUGUUUUGAACCAAUUUCGUCCA
rnacentral:pre_miRNA from 1 species